GAGUUUGAUCAUGGCUCAGAUUGAACGCCGGCGGCAGGCCUAACACAUGCAAGUCGAGCGGAAACGAGUUAUCUGAACCUUCGGGGAACGAUAACGGCGUCGAGCGGCGGACGGGUGAGUAAUGCCUAGGAAAUUGCCCUGAUGUGGGGGAUAACCAUUGGAAACGAUGGCUAAUACCGCAUAACGCCUACGGGCCAAAGAGGGGGACCUUCGGGCCUCUCGCGUCAGGAUAUGCCUAGGUGGGAUUAGCUAGUUGGUGAGGUAAGGGCUCACCAAGGCGACGAUCCCUAGCUGGUCUGAGAGGAUGAUCAGCCACACUGGAACUGAGACACGGUCCAGACUCCUACGGGAGGCAGCAGUGGGGAAUAUUGCACAAUGGGCGCAAGCCUGAUGCAGCCAUGCCGCGUGUGUGAAGAAGGCCUUCGGGUUGUAAAGCACUUUCAGUCGUGAGGAAGGUAGUGUAGUUAAUAGCUGCAUUAUUUGACGUUAGCGACAGAAGAAGCACCGGCUAACUCCGUGCCAGCAGCCGCGGUAAUACGGAGGGUGCGAGCGUUAAUCGGAAUUACUGGGCGUAAAGCGCAUGCAGGUGGUUUGUUAAGUCAGAUGUGAAAGCCCGGGGCUCAACCUCGGAAUUGCAUUUGAAACUGGCAGACUAGAGUACUGUAGAGGGGGGUAGAAUUUCAGGUGUAGCGGUGAAAUGCGUAGAGAUCUGAAGGAAUACCGGUGGCGAAGGCGGCCCCCUGGACAGAUACUGACACUCAGAUGCGAAAGCGUGAGGAGCAAACAGGAUUAGAUACCCUGGUAGUCCACGCCGU
rnacentral:rRNA from 1 species